CUCAUCUGGUUCGUACUGGCUGGAGCUGGAACUCGCCUAUAUAAGUGAGCGUGGCGAGUUAGCAUCGCUACGCACUUCCAAUCCACUCGGUCCGCAUCAUACCUCGUGUCCUGUCUACUGCUGCUGCGCUGCACGAGAGCCAACUUCAACGUCAAAGCCCAACCUACGCAUCGACAGACAUGUCUGGGAAAGGUGCUGCCCCGAAGAAGGGAACCGACAAGGCUGCCGCCGUGACGACAAAGGAGCCAGCGAAGGAGGGAGAGAAGAAAAAGGAAGGGGGGAAGAAGGAGGGAGGAAAGAAGAAGUGAUUUCGCGCUCGGCGCAAAAGGAGAAUCCGGCGGGGAGAUGAGGAGUUGGAUGCGCGCCGUGGUGUAUUUUGUUGAGCGCGCCUGUGGAUAGUUCUACUACAGUCGAACACGUUCGUGGUUGUAUUUGUGCUGUGUAAAUAUUGAAGGGCUUUGACACCCCAAUCAUUCCUACUUAACAAGAGAUGUACUCUGCGUUGGGUUUGUAAUAAAAACAACUGAAUGGAAUCCCAUA